rnacentral:rRNA from 1 species
AAGCAGGAGCUUGCUCUUGUGGAUCAGUGGCGAACGGGUGAGUAACACGUGAGCAACCUGCCCCUGACUCUGGGAUAAGCGCUGGAAACGGCGUCUAAUACUGGAUAUGUGACGUGACCGCAUGGUCUGCGUUUGGAAAGAUUUUUCGGUUGGGGAUGGGCUCGCGGCCUAUCAGCUUGUUGGUGAGGUAAUGGCUCACCAAGGCGUCGACGGGUAGCCGGCCUGAGAGGGUGACCGGCCACACUGGGACUGAGACACGGCCCAGACUCCUACGGGAGGCAGCAGUGGGGAAUAUUGCACAAUGGGCGAAAGCCUGAUGCAGCAACGCCGCGUGAGGGAUGACGGCCUUCGGGUUGUAAACCUCUUUUAGCAGGGAAGAAGCGAAAGUGACGGUACCUGCAGAAAAAGCGCCGGCUAACUACGUGCCAGCAGCCGCGGUAAUACGUAGGGCGCAAGCGUUAUCCGGAAUUAUUGGGCGUAAAGAGCUCGUAGGCGGUUUGUCGCGUCUGCUGUGAAAUCCCGAGGCUCAACCUCGGGCCUGCAGUGGGUACGGGCAGACUAGAGUGCGGUAGGGGAGAUUGGAAUUCCUGGUGUAGCGGUGGAAUGCGCAGAUAUCAGGAGGAACACCGAUGGCGAAGGCAGAUCUCUGGGCCGUAACUGACGCUGAGGAGCGAAAGGGUGGGGAGCAAACAGGCUUAGAUACCCUGGUAGUCCACCCCGUAAACGUUGGGAACUAGUUGUGGGGUCCAUUCCACGGAUUCCGUGACGCAGCUAACGCAUUAAGUUCCCCGCCUGGGGAGUACGGCCGCAAGGCUAAAACUCAAAGGAAUUGACGGGGACCCGCACAAGCGGCGGAGCAUGCGGAUUAAUUCGAUGCAACGCGAAGAACCUUACCAAGGCUUGACAUAUACGAGAACGGGCCAGAAAUGGUCAACUCUUUGGACACUCGUAAACAGGUGGUGCAUGGUUGUCGUCAGCUCGUGUCGUGAGAUGUUGGGUUAAGUCCCGCAACGAGCGCAACCCUCGUUCUAUGUUGCCAGCACGUAAUGGUGGGAACUCAUGGGAUACUGCCGGGGUCAACUCGGAGGAAGGUGGGGAUGACGUCAAAUCAUCAUGCCCCUUAUGUCUUGGGCUUCACGCAUGCUACAAUGGCCGGUACAAAGGGCUGCAAUACCGUGAGGUGGAGCGAAUCCCAAAAAGCCGGUCCCAGUUCGGAUUGAGGUCUGCAACUCGACCUCAUGAAGUCGGAGUCGCUAGUAAUCGCAGAUCAGCAACGCUGCGGUGAAUACGUUCCCGGGUCUUGUACACACCGCCCGUCAAGUCAUGAAAGUCGGUAACACCUGAAGCCGGUGGCCUAACCCUUG